rnacentral:rRNA from 1 species
UACAGAGGUCUCAAGCGUUGUUCGGAUUCAUUGGGCGUAAAGGGUGCGUAGGCGGCGCGGUAAGUCGGGUGUGAAAUCUCGGAGCUUAACUCCGAAACUGCAUUCGAUACUGCCGUGCUUGAGGACUGGAGAGGAGACUGGAAUUUACGGUGUAGCGGUGAAAUGCGUAGAUAUCGUAAGGAAGACCAGUGGCGAAGGCGGCAUCCUGGACCAACACUGACGCUGAGGAGCGAAAGCCCAGGGGAGCAAACGGG